GACAGUGUUGUGCAUUCUGAGGUUGAUGAUAAUUGCAAUGAUAAAGACACAUUUUUGACAAAUUUGGCACUCUUCUAUUUGAGGAUGCAAGCUAAAAUGUUGCUACCAGCCACCACUAUCCAAAUUUUAAUUGAUGAAUUUCAGGUGAUGCAUGACAGCAACAUGCAACACAUUUUUUCAAAACUGAGAGAUGAAUUAAGAAAGCAAAAUAUGCCAUCACCGGAUAUUGAUAACAUCAUAGCUGGCCUUAAUAAGAGUAAUCUUCUGAGGUUGUAUAAUGAGGGAGUAUUUAGGUCUGAUGACACUCGGAAGACAUAUUUCAAGAGGAAUUUUAAUUAUGUGGCACCUGAACAGGUGUAUCUAGGUAAAAAUUCCAAAGGAAAGGACUGCUUUUUGCAGUAUGUUCCAGUAAAGGAGACCCUCAAAGCACUUUUGAGCCAUGAGUCAGUCAAAGCACAGUACAUUGAUGCAAAGACACACAGAUCCGAUGACCCACAUUUACUGGAGGAUGUAAGAGAUGGCAGGAUUUUUAAAGAAAAGGAUAUUUUUCAGCAGUGUGUGUCCUCAGUCUCCAUUAUCCUUUACCAGGAUUCAUUUGAAGUGGUGAAUCCCCUUGGAUCAGGGAGAAAAAAACACAAGCAACUCGCUGUUUACAUGUCACUGUCAGAAAUCUCUCCUCAUAAUAGGUCAUCUAUAGACCCCAUACAGCUUGUUUUGCUUUGUAAUGAGGACGAUUUGCGUUUUUUUGGGCAGGAGAAAGUGUUUGGUCCACUUGUAAGAGAUUUGAGGGAUCUUGAAGAAGCAGGAGUUGAGCUGGACAGUGGUCAAAUAAUACAAGGGGCAGUGCUUGCAAUAGCUGGAGAUAAUCUUGGGUCACACAUGAUUGGUGGCUUCACAGAGAACUUCAGUAAAAGUAAACAUUUCUGUCGCUACUGUGUUAUAGACAGAGAAACUUUUCAAAAUUCUCCAACAGAAUUAGGCCUUCCACGCACAAAGCAAAGUUACAAGAACUCUGUUAUUGAGCUUACCAGGAGUCCUCAGUUAGCUGAUGUUCAUGGCAUAAAAUUUGACUCUGUGUUUAAUAUCCUAAAACACUUCCAUGUAUGUGACCCAGGACUCCCACCAUGCUUGGGACAUGACCUUUUUGAAGGUGUCGUUUCAACAGAUCUGUCUCUGUACAUCAAGCAGCUUGUCACUGUUGGAAAACAUUUCACUUACAACCAGCUGAAUCGGAUCAUAUCUACUUUUAAGUAUGCUGGGGCCGAUGGCAACAAUAAACCAUGUGAAAUUCGAGCAGACAGUCAAAAGUUAGGUGGUAAUGCAGCUCAAAACUGGUGUUUGCUCCGGUUACUCCCACUGCUAGUAGGUGAUCGCAUAAAAAAUCCACUGGAGGAUGAGAUUUGGCAGUUGUGCCUGCUGCUUCGUGAAAUAGUUAAUAUGGUAACAGCUCCCAAAAUACAUGCUAACCAGGUAGCAUAUUUGAAAGCUCUCAUUGAGCAGUAUAUUGAUUCUAGAUUCUCACUGUUUCCAACUACACCACUAAAACCAAAGCACCAUUUCUUACUGCACUAUCCAGAACUCAUACUUCAUUUUGGUCCACUAAUUCGGUUGUGGACUUUGCGUUUCGAAAGCAAGCACACAUUUUUCAAGCAGUGUGCAAGAAAGCUGCAUAACUUCAAAAAUCUGAACAGUACUUUGGCAGAGAGACACCAGCUUCUGCAAGCCUAUCUUCAGGCUGGCAGUCUCUUCACACCAAGACUUGAAAUGCAGCAAGCUAAUGAAUUUGAUAGCCACUUAUAUAACCUUGGCAUCCAGGAAGCUGUUAGAUUGAGAGGCAUUCAUGAGGCCACAUUAGUGACACCAGCUGUUACUUACAAGGGCACCAAAUACCAGAAAUCUAUGAUUGUAGUUAUGGAGGACAGUGACAUGGGAUACACCUUUGGAAAAAUUGCACUGAUAUUGAACAACUCAUCAGAAGUUUAUUUUGUCAUUGAAAAAUACCAAUCCGUGCCUUUAGUUGACCUAGGUGUGCACUGUCUCGUUGACUCAGGUUUUUCCUAUGUCUGUGUCAGUGUGGAGGACCUGGCUGAUUACUACCCACUGUCUUUGUACAAAAUAUUUGAUGUUAAUCUUGUGCCUUUGCAUCAUUCUGUCUGUCUAAGGUAAAUGAAAAGAUAUGGACUCGGUGGAGGACGUCAUCAGGAAGGUGCUACCUAUGCUUCAGGAGAAUGACUUUAACAAUCUCAUGACACAUUUGACUGGUAUUGGUGUACAGAUGGGCUGUGAUCUCCAGUUUGUUACCUUAGAAGACAUAAAAGAUAUUGUCCCUCUCAUUGCUGCCCGAAGACUCGUACACCACUUCAGUAACAGAGGUAAGAAAUCUUAAUGGUGCACCUUCUUUACAAUGCAUUAUUCCUGCAUUGAUAAUAUUGGACAUUAAGCGUUAUCCUAUUUAAAUACUAGAAACAAUAGAAUUUUUUCCCCCAAAUAGUUCAUAAUCAUUAAUGUUACCAAUACGUCAAA
ensembl:lncRNA